ensembl:lncRNA
GGAUUUUGAAACCAUAGAAAAUAAAUUAUUAAAUAAUAAUUAUAAUAACCCUUUUGAAUGGCAACAGGAUGUUAGACAAAUUUUUUAUAAUGCUUUUACAUACCACAAGAAUAAAAAUUGUGUUUGGAAUGAUGCUUAUAAAUUAGCUAAAGAAUUCGAUAAAUUAGUAAAAGAAGAUACAGAUAUGAGAAAUUUAAUUAUGGAUUGUUCUAAUAACACUAAUUCUAUUUAUUUAGAUAUGAAUGUAUAUAAUCAAAUAUUGAUGAAUAAAUAUGAAACUAAUGACUAUGGUAGUGAUAAUGUUAUUAACAAUUUGAACAAUAACAAUGUAAACAGUUAUAAUCAUAGUAUUGGUAAGCAUGCUAAUAAUGUUUGUAGUAAACGUAACAGUAGUGUGGGUAGCAGUAGUGUUGGUAGCAGUAGUGACAGUAGUAGUAGUGAUAGUAGUAGUGAUAGUAGUAGUAGUAGUAGUAGUCUCAGUAGCAGUUAUGACGGUUCCAUUAAUAAUGGUGUUAUGAAUUCCAAUUGUUAUAACAAUAAUAUGAAUAAUAAUAAAAAGCAUAAAAAACAAAAAGCUUUUAAUAUUAGUAAUAGUAGUAGUAGUAGUAGUAGUAGUAGUAGCAGUAGUAAUAGUAAUAGUAAUAGUAAUAGUAAUAUUAGCAAAAAUUUGAACCACUCAGGAAACAAAAAAAAAAAUAUGAAAAAUGUGGGAACGGCUAAUAAUGUAUAUAACAAUUCUUUAAAAAAUGCAAACCCUCCAAGCCAAAUGUAUAGAUAUAGUAAUAGUAAUAAUAGUAUAACACCUCGAAACAACAAAAUAAAUAAAGUAAAAAAAAAAAAUAUGUGUUCUUCCAAAACAAUGCGCGAUCAAAUGAAUUCCACUAUGAAUAGUACUAUUAAAGGUGGUAGUUUUAAUAAUAACACUUAUACAUCCAUGCAUGAUAGUAUGAUGAGUAAUAACAAUAUUAUGAAUGCUAGUAUUAACAGUUAUAAUUCUUCAAUGGGUUUAAACAAUAACAUUUUAAAUAAUAAUAAUAAUAAUAAUAACAAUACGUCUAUCGAUUUCGAACCACCAGCCAUUGGAACAAUACCCGAGCCACCAGGCAUUCAAAAAAUCGGAAUUAAUGAUAAAGGUUUAAAUAAUUAUCAAAUUAAUAUGCUAUUUAAAAAUUUGAGAAGGUUAGCACCAAACCAGAGAAAAGCAGCUUUAGAAAUUAUACAGGAUGAUCUUGGUAUAUUAGCAGAAAAUCAUAUGUAUGAUAAAUGUUUUGUUUUUGAUACAGAAUUAUUAUCUAUAGAAAAACAAAAAAGAAUUUUUUUAUAUAUUAAUCAUAUGGGUAGAAUAAAUUUAGAACAAUAUAAAGCAUCUGUGUCUAUGUGUCAUAAUAAAACUGGUAGUAGUAACAUUAGCCAUUUUAAUGGUGGAAAUGUUAAUACAAAGGAUAAAAGUAUGAUGAUUCUCACAAAAAAUAAUAAUCACAAAAAUUUUAUUAAUAAUGGUAAUAUGCCUACUACUACUACUACUACUACUACUAUUACUACUACUAAUAUUGGAAACAACAAUAGUAAUAUUAAUAAAGAACGGUAUAAAAAAAAAAAAUCUAAUUAUAAGUACGGCGCAUCAUCAUCUUCUAAUUCAUCGGACGAUACAUCUUUUUCGAACUCAUCUGACUCUACUUCUCUAAGUAGUUCCAGUUCCAGUGAUGACGAUGAUAGUGAUAGUGACAGCGAUAGUGAAUUGGAUUCAGGGUCAGAGUCAGGUUCAGGAUCAGAGUCAGGGUCAGAGUCAGGUUCAGGUUCAGACUCAGGUUCGGAUUCAGAUAGAUAUGGUAAAAAAAAGAAAGGUAAAAGUGAACAGAAUUUUAGAGAAAACAAAAAAGAUGACAUGUGUAAGAUGUUACCAAAUAUGAACAAUAAAUUGUUUGACAAUAAUAGUAGUACUAAUAAUAAUAUGAAUAAUAGAAGAAAAACACUACCACAAUAUAAACCAGUUGAUGAAAAUAAAAAAAAUCUAGAAAUCAGAGAAGACUUAAUGGGUAUGCAUGCAGAUUUUUUAGCACCUAUGGAUACACCAAAAAAUAUACAAAAGAAUCAUAAAAAAAUUACUGGUACAGCUUGGCCAGAAUGGAAAGGGCAAGUAAUUCAACAGGCUAUUUUGACUCAACAUCAGACAAACAUACCUAUAAAUAAAAACGAAUUAAUAGCGGAAGGUUACGAUGCGAAAAUAUGACACGUGUCCAGCUAUAUAUCAAGACUUUUGUAUCUUGUAGUAACGAAAUAAGCGAGUAAAAAAUAAAAAAGAAGAGAAGAGAUGAGAGGAGAAGACA